GUUCCUUGAGGAGUGGCUUCCGGAGCUAACGCGUUAAGUCGACCGCCUGGGGAGUACGGCCGCAAGGUUAAAACUCAAAUGAAUUGACGGGGGCCCGCACAAGCGGUGGAGCAUGUGGUUUAAUUCGAUGCAACGCGAAGAACCUUACCUACUCUUGACAUCCAGAGAACUUUCCAGAGAUGGAUUGGUGCCUUCGGGAACUCUGAGACAGGUGCUGCAUGGCUGUCGUCAGCUCGUGUUGUGAAAUGUUGGGUUAAGUCCCGCAACGAGCGCAACCCUUAUCCUUUGUUGCCAGCGAUUCGGUCGGGAACUCAAAGGAGACUGCCGGUGAUAAACCGGAGGAAGGUGGGGAUGACGUCAAGUCAUCAUGGCCCUUACGAGUAGGGCUACACACGUGCUACAAUGGCGCAUACAAAGAGAAGCGACCUCGCGAGAGCAAGCGGACCUCACAAAGUGCGUCGUAGUCCGGAUCGGAGUCUGCAACUCGACUCCGUGAAGUCGGAAUCGCUAGUAAUCGUGGAUCAGAAUGCCACGGUGAAUACGUUCCCGGGCCUUGUACACACCGCCCGUCACACCAUGGGAGUGGGUUGCAAAAGAAGUAGGUAGCUUAACCUUCGGGAGGGCGCUUACCACUUUGUGAUUCAUGACUGGGGUGAAGUCGUAACA
rnacentral:rRNA from 1 species